rnacentral:rRNA from 1 species
UACGGAGGAUCCAAGCGUUAUCCGGAUUUAUUGGGUUUAAAGGGUGCGUAGGCGGCUUGUUAAGUCAGGGGUGAAAGACGAUGGCUCAACCAUCGCAGUGCCUUUGAUACUGACGAGCUUGAAUGUACUUGAGGUAGGCGGAAUGUGACAAGUAGCGGUGAAAUGCAUAGAUAUGUCACAGAACACCGAUUGCGAUGGCAGCUUACUAAAGUAUGAUUGACGCUGAGGCACGAAAGCGUGGGGAUCAAACAGG